UACCCUAUCUGAGCACCAGCACAGUAAAGAUAAAUUAAGAAGACUUUGCCUAAAACAUUCUGCAUCUUGAGCAAAAUCAGGGAUUAGAUCAGCUGAAGUGUCAUGUCUGGUACCUCUUGGAGCUCUUGGCACAGGGUAGAAGCCAAAGGAAAGCAGGUAACAUCAUAAGUGCCAAGUCCUCAUCUCCUCUCAAAAGUUCCAUCCCAUUCAGAGGUUGCAUCAGCAACAUCGCAAGUGAUCCAAGCUCCACAGCUCAACUCCAUCCAUCAAAAGGCUAUCCACACACCCCAGCUCUGCACAAUGACUUGCAGUCAUUUCGGUUUUACAGAAAAACUAACCCUUUAGGAUAUUUGAAGGUGAGGUGGAAGAAGAAAGAAAAAAUGGUUACAGACCUGGUCCUGAAGUCUAAUCAAGAAUGGAGGAAGGACAUCAAAGCAGGGUGUCUUUUUCAUCCUGCCUCCCAAGAGUAGUCUGCCAUGAGAAAUACAAAAUCAUGCAAUUUAAUAAUCAAAAAUACAUUUUAAAGAAAAGAGAAGUAGAUGUACUAGAUAGCUGGGAUGUCUUGGUUGCUACAAUUGAAUAUUAACUUAACUGUAAGCUUCUACCUGCCAGCUAGGGCAAAAAUUCUAGGUACUGGACUGGUCCUAUGAGUGAGUCAGCAUACAACAGCUACGUUGGAGGGUUAACUUUCUCCAGAUUCCAUUUUUAGGUGCCAGGAUUGCAGAUGGAGUCUCGCUCACUCAGUGCUCAAUGUUGCCCAGGCUGGAAUGCAGUGGCGUGAUCUCGGCUCGCUACAACCUCCACCUCCCAGCCGCCUGCCUUGGCCUCCCAAAGUGCUGAGAUUGCAGCCUCUGCCCGGCCACCACCCUAUCUAGGAAGUGAGGAGCGUCUCUGCCUGGCCGCCCAUCAUCUGGGAUGUGAGGAGCCCCUCUGCCCGGCCGCCAGUCUGGGAAGUGAGGAGCGUCUCUGCCUGGCCACCCAUCCUCUGGGAUGUGGGGAGCGCCUCUGCCCGGCCACCCCGUCUGGGAGGUGAGGAGCGCCUCUGCCCGGCCGCCACCCUGUCUGGGAACUGAGGAGCAUCUCUACCCAGCCGCCACCCCGUCUGGGAGGUGAGGAGCGCCUCUGCCCAGCCGCCACCCCGUCUGGGAAGUGAGGACACCUCUGCCCGGCCGCGACCCCGUCUGGGAACUGAGGAGCGUCUCUGCCCGGCCGCCCCGUCUAAGAAGUGAGGAGCCCCUCCGCCCGGCAGCAGCCCCGUCUGGGAAGUGAGGAGCGUCUCCACCCAGCUGCCCCGUCUGGGAGGAUAAAGAUAUUCCCUUCCUCAGGGUACAGGGAGGGUACCUCUUAUGAACUACUUUACAGGAAGGUCAGAGAAUUCAUUUACGGCCUGCUUCAGGAGAGAAAGGCAAGAGGAAGGUCAGAGAGACUUUCCUACUACUGCUGUUUUCUCCAAUACUAAAGUACCAUAUUUUGGGAUUGCGUGUCCUGAACUCCUUCAACUAAUUGGUACAAGAACGAGGAAGCCUCCAUGAAAGCCAAGCUGGAAAAGAGAGCAUGGUAUAUUCUAAACCAGUGGCUGUACCUUCAUUAGCAUAACAUAAUAAAUAAGUUAUGUGCCUUGGAAUGAAGAAUGUGCUUGGAGAGGGUGAGAAAGGAAUAUCCCUUCCAUGUAUCCAGCUCAGUGACCGGGAGACAGAUCUCAAUUAUCGUUUUUUGAGCAAAAUUGACUAAAACCGAACAGAGAAUUGCCACUGUUAAGAAAAGAGAAAGGCCAAGAGAAGAAAAAUCAGAGAGCUCAUGAUGAAAAACCAAAGUGUGUAAAAAGACAGUGGAAGAGGUAUUGCCUUUCAUCACAGGCUUUAAACAUGGACUCCAGAAAGCAAUUGCUAAUAUGGAGGAUGAAUUCCCUAAAACCCAAAGGAAGAUGCAUGAGCACAUUGGCAGCACUGGUACUCUUCAUGAAGACUUAUUUUUUUUCUAAACUGAUGCUAUACAUGAGAAUAAAAAGUUGAAGUCUGAAGUUCUUCAAAUUCAAUUCAACAAAUGUUGACUGGGUGCUGUAAAAGAAAAAUUGCACCAGAUCCAGUUAAACAGCAGGAGCGUGAGCCAGAGUGAAAAGGAGGCAUUGCUCCCUAACCAUGCCUGAGGCUUCCUUUAAAAACAGAACCAUUUUCAAUGUCAAGUGAGUAGGAGGCAAAAGGCACUGACUGCAGGUGGAGGCAGAAACCUUCCUCCCUCUGCUAGUUGUCCAUGUUUUUAUUGAAAGUUGGAAAUCGUUUUAAAGUCCAUUCAAAAUGUGAUUCUUAUUUUUUAAAACUGAAAUAAAUCUAAACAUGCUGACAU